CCAGAGUCCUUUUCUACUUAGCUGAAGUAACAGGAGUAAGCCAUGAUUUUACAAGGAUGGGACACUCUACCUGAUCUCCUGUGGAUCUGAGGGAUCUCUGGAUCUUUACACCAGCACCAGGGCUUUCCUGAAGAAGACCACAGAUCCUCGGACCAGUCUAGGACACAGGUAAGAUCCCAUCUGAUAAUAAGGCUUUCUUUUGGGAAUCCUGCCCUUAUAAGGCAUGUGGAUCUUCCAGUGCAUUGGGUGGGUUAUUUGAUAUUCUGGAAUUUGAUAUUUGACCUGGUUUUAUCGAUCGAUAGUUGUUUUGUAUUUGUAUCUGUAUUGUAACAUUUUGGGUCUACUAUUUGGAGAUAGGUAGUGGACAAUCUAAAGGGGUCAUUCUGAAAAAAUCCCCACUUGGUUGCAUUUUGUGACAUUGGAGAAAGAUCAGAAGGCCCCCUGGGGGAACAGCUACCAGGGAGAAUUUGAUUAAGUAUUGUAAUCAGUGGUGGCCAUUGUACAAACUAGACUCUGGAGAAAAGUGGCCACAAAAUGGAACCUUGAACAUUGUCACGUGUGAACGUUACAUGAAUACAUUGUUACAGCCAAUGUUGUUUUUAAGAUGAGAACAGAAAUGGGAUGAGGUUAUAUAUGCUGAUAUGUUUUUCACUUUGAGGAAUCAUCUGGAAUGGUAGAAAGAUUGUGGCUUGAAUUCAGCCCCCUCAGACCCUUUUGUGCUGACUCUUGAAAAGGAGAAUCAAGGAAAAUGGUUAGAGUGUUGAUGUUCUAUGUGCAGCAUGGGACAAAUUUGUUCUAAACAUCUUCUCAAUUAGGAGGACAAUUUAGAUCUUAUGGUCCUAAUUGCAAGCUUGAGGGGGGAACAGACAAUCAGGCUGCCGAGACUGAUAUUAUGAGGGAACUGGGGCAUAAAGAGGCUCCCCUCCAUCAUGUGGUAGGUGCAGAUGCUCCAAUAUCAGUAAAAGUUCUGUUUUCAAUAACAGACCUUAAUAAUUGAAAGUCAAUGACCGUCACCUAUGUUAGAAUACUAAAACAAAAAAAAAAAAAAAAAAAAUUGCAAUUAUGAAAGGAAUUUCCAAAGGAAUGGUUCCCCUGGGGAAAGGAAGGGAAUGAGGGUGCAGACAACCUACCUCAAACUCCCCUGUGAGACUGCAUAUUAAUCUAUGUGCAUACUGUAAUAAAAAUGGGCAUUGUAAAAAGGAUUGUCCACAGUUGAAACAUAACAGCCGUCCUCUCGUGGGGGACCCCAUCAUUGCGGGUUCACCCAUUAUGACUGAGGGGGACCAGAGGAUUCUUCCCCAGCAGAACCUCUGGUUACAGCUAAGCUGGGGAAUGAGGAGGCAAAGGAAGAGGUAGAAUUUUUAGUAGAUACAGGAGCUAGUUACUCUGUGCUAAACACAGUAAAAGGAAACUUGAGUAAUGAUUCUAUAACAAUCAUUGGUGCAACAGGGAAUCGUGAAACUCAGCCAUUUUUCAAGCCCAUUGAUUUUAAAUUAGAAAAGCAAUGGAUGACUUACCAGUUUUUGUAUCUACCCAAUUCAUCAAAGCCUCUCCUUGGGAGACAUUCAUUGAAAAAACUAAAUGCUGAAAUCAAAUUUUAAAAUGGCAAAAUACAGGUUAGUAUUCCAGAACCUAAUUGCGUGGAAGCCUCUAUUUUUACACUACAGUCUCCAAAAUUGGACAUGACCCAUCUGCCAGUAUCACUUGAGGAUGCAGUGAUUCCAAUAGUCUGGGCUGGAGAGGUGCCUGGAUGAUCAAAAAGAGCAGAGCCUGUAAGAAUUAAAUUGAAACCUGGAGCGGGACUGGUAAGGCAAAAGCAAUACCCUUUGAAAAUAGAAAGUUGUAAGGGUUUAUUACCCUUUGUGGAAAAAUUUAUAAAAUAUGGCCUAUUGAAGGAAUGUGAAUGCAAAUUUAAUACCCUUAUUUUGCCAUUUAAGAAGGCAAAUGGAAAGGAUUACCGGCUGGUACAGGACCUUAGAGCCAUAGAUAAGAUAGUAGAAGAUAUACACUCGGUAGUAGCGAAUCCUUAUGCCUUGCUAACAACCUUGAGUGAAAAAUUAAAAUGGUUUACAAUAUUAGAUUUGAAAGAUGCCUUUUUCUGUAUCCCUUUGAGUACUGAAAGUCAAGAGCUUUUUGCUUUUGAAUGGGAAAAUGAAAACACAGGGAGAAGAACUCAACUGAUUUGGACAGUUCUGCCACAGGGGUUUAAAAAUAGCCCCACCAUAUUCGGAAGUCAAUUGGCAAAAGAACUGGAGGAAUGGAAAAAUCAGAACCCUCUUGGAGUCUUGUUACAGUAUGUAGAUAACAUUCUGAUAGCCACUGAAACUAAACAGCAAUGUUGGGAUCAGAUUGUGGCAUUGUUGAAUUUUCUGGGACUAAGUGGAUAUAGAGUAUCCAAAGACAAAGCACAAAUAUUCCAGAUCACAGUAACCUACUUGGGAUUUGAAAUCCUCCAAGGACCCAGGAGGCUGGGACAGGAAUGAAAAGAAGCAAUUUGCCAACUCCCACACCCAUGAACGGUAAGAGAGUUGUCUGCAUUUCUUGGGAUGGUUGGAUGGUGUCACCUGAGGAUCAGCAAUUAUGGGUUGCAAGUAAAGACACUGUAUGAGCUCUUGAAGACAUCUCAGAAGGACUUUAUAGUCUGGACUGAUGGUUCAUGGGCUGCCUUUUUACAAGUCAAGCAAGCCCUCAUGGGGGCCCCUGCUUUGGGAUAUCCAGACCUCAUGAGCCCGUUUGAACUAUUUACCUAUGAAAGACAAAAUAUAGCACUGGGAGUGCUGUUGCAGUUCCUCGGGGGCCAGAGGAGGGCCGUGGCCUACUUUUCAAAGAAACUAGAUAAUGUCAGCCAAGGCUGGCCUAGUUGUCUUUAGGGCAGUAGCAGUUACCUCUUGAUCCAGGAAGCUCGAAAACUGACUUUGGGACAAAGCAUUGUCAUUUAUGUACCACAUAUGGUGCAGUCAGUACUUGAGCAAAAAGGGGGCCACUGGCAAUCUCCUAGCCAGAUGUUAAAAUACCAGGUAGUCUUGCUGGAGCAAGACAAUGUGACACUCAAAACAACUUCUAUUGUUAACCCUGCUAUAUUCUUAUCUGCCCAACAAGUAGAAGGAAUCCCAGAGCAUGAUUGCUUACAGACUAUAGAAGAAGUGUAUUCCAGCAGACCUGACUUAGGAGACAGCCCCUUGGAAAGACCUAAUUGGGAAUUGUUUACUGAUGGGACCAGCUUUGUCUGAAAUGGAAAACGACUAUCUGUGGAUGCCCAGUAACUGCACACCAUCAGUAAAACUACAGGAUUUGCAGCAAGCAGUGGUGAUCUCCAGACUGAUGGGACUGGACACACAGCGCAUGAGUUCCAACCAGGAGAUUGGGUCUACUCAAAAGACUGGGGAACCACUCUGCUGCAGCCAAAGUGGAAGGGACCUUUCCAAGUACUACUGACAACUUUUACUGUGUUGAAACUGGAUGAAGUAAAAUCAUGGAUGCGUUAUUCCAGAAUUAAAAGAGCCGAAGCCCCUUAGGUAAUCAAACCGUUGUCUGAGAAAAACCAAGAUGCCUAAGUCUUGUUUUGCUAUCAAAGUCGUAGAGUGUCUACAGAUGUCCAGGAAAUCUGGAAACAAACCCAGAUUUUACAAUGCACAGCUCAGGACGGCACCUCCUGGGGAUGUAAAGAAAUCUUUAUCAAACUUACUUCAUGGUUACCCAACUGGACUUGGUUAAAACAUGUUUAUAAUCAGCACCAUAACUGCUGUAUGUGUUUUAGCUUGCAUCAUGAUUCAGUGUUAUAGCUGUUGUAAGGCCUUACACUAUAAAAAUGAAAUAUAGGUAUUAAGCAACUAGUUCCCAUAAGGAAUUUAGUCUCAAGGAUAGAGAGGACUUGAUAAGGACAGUAGAACAGAACAGCAUAGCCUUGGAGAAGUCGAUAAAGGAUGUAACUUAGGCAAACAGAAGUAAUACAAAACACAAGCAGGAUGCCAGCUCAGCUCUGCAAGGCUGUCAAAGCAGCAGUUAUGCAAAACAAAAGUAUUGCACUUACUAAAAACCACAGGUCAAGGAACAGCUGCCUAAAAAGGACACCGGAUGUUGAAGACCACCAAAGAAGAACCCCAAAAAAACAUUCAAGAACUUCCAAUAAGGGGUGUGAUUAUGUAAAAUGAAGUAAUACAUAUACAUCAAGUAAGCAGGGAUAGCCUAUGAAUAUGUAAUCAUUGUGUACAAUGAAACUCUUUACCCAACAUUCAGGGCACUCAAUUAGAGGAAGGAUUCUCUGAGUGACCAGCACACUGCAAUAAAGAAUGCCUGCUUUCUAAUACUCAAAACUGUGUUAGAAAGUUUCUAUUGGGCUGAUUUCGGUAUCAAUAGAAACUAUGUCUCCACAAGCUAACAAGAAGGAAAUACAAGCUUUCAUAGGCCUUGUGGGAUUCUGGAGAAUGCAUAUUCCAGGUUAUAGUCAGCUGUUGCUAUGACCCAGCCCACUGCAGGGCUGGGGCAGCGUGAUGCCAAUCAAUCCCAGCCCAUCCCCUGGAUCGAGUUUCCUGAAGAGGCAGACUCAGAGGGUGGAUCAAGGGGCGGCUCAGAAGCCUAAGCCGCACCCACCCGGGCAGCACCCGGGUACAAGCCGCCUCCCCCGGCUCGGGAAAUUUCCUGGUUACUCGGUUGUUCACUGGUUCUUUGUUAUAACUCCCGCCUCUCGGUUUCCCCCAGUGGUUCUUGUUAAAUUGUAUCCUCCCCCUGGCUUGUAACUCAUUGGUUGUUUUCCCCUUUCACUGCGAUUUUCAAAUUCCCUAUAAAACUGAGGACAAGCCUCGGGGAGGGAUCCCAUUGCAUUCUAUCCCUUCCGAGCUUGUUCAGGUUGCGAAACUUCUGACAAUAAACCUGUUAGGAGCCAGACCAGAACAGCCUCUCUCUUCCUUUGUCUCCGAGCUAAUGUAAGCCGAUCCCAUUGGCUCCUGCCAUUUCCCUCUGCAAAGAAGCCAGCUAGCUAUCUCAGCCAGCAGCACCUUUCUUGAUGCUGAAGUCGCUUCAGCGACGCACAGAAGUAACGCAGCUGGACUCUCUCUGAUCGAGGGCACGCCAGAGCUCGUGCCUCAAGCACAAGAACUGCGUUAGGUUGGCGGACCAAGCGUGGGGCUCACGCAAGUGGACCCCUGUAACGUCGUGGCUGUCAGUGGACAGUGAGACGAAGCAACUUUGGACUUGCCGACGCCUCUCGGUGCAGUCUGCUCUGUUUUAGGAGUGGUGCCCUGAGAGAAGGCUGCUAACUCCCACUGAUUUUUCACUGAACUGAUUUUGGAGAGCAGCCGUGCCUCGGAGAACCCCACCUGUGCUUUUUAGUUUGGGACCGGAUGCCUUUUAACUGAUUUCUGAAACUUGUGUGAGUAUCCCCAGUCCCUGAUAUUUUGUUUCUUUUUUCAUUUUCUGGGUGGUGGGUGGAAGAAGUGCUGAGAGAGAGAUGGGAUCAAAACUCUCUCAGCCCCAAAGAGAGGUUUUUCUACAAGUUGCGAAAUUCCUUGAAGUUAGUGGGUUUAAAUUUUCAAAGGGUCUGUUAAAACAGUUUGUUCACUGGCUUUUCUUUUACCUUCCUCAAGUGUCUCCUGCAAAUUUAAAAUCUCCUGCCUUCUGGUAGGCUGUGGGGGAUAAGAUUACUGAUUUAAAGUGAAAGGGAGACUCCUCUGGAGAAAAAUUCUUUCCUCUAGUUCUAGUCCUUCGGGACUUGCAUAAAAUGGAUCAGAAAGUAAAAGAAAAGCACAAAUCCCCUUGUAGUUCUUCCCAUAUCCCUCCUUUCUCCCCUCCUGCUCCUCAUCCCACUUCCCCUUCGUUGGAAAAACUGAAUGGGGUAAUAUGCCCAGAGGCACAGAGUUACUACCUUCUCUCUGACCCCUCUCGGUCUUUUCAGCCACCCUGUUGGGGUAGCUCUGGCCAGGCUGCCUCAACCCCUUCCCAAACCCCAUACCCCUCACCCUCUUCCCCAGUUGUAAGCCCAGAAAACUGUUCUAAAUGCCAUUCGCCACUAUCCCCCUCCACUCCACGUGUCUACAUAAUGGUGGAGACCACAUAGCGCAGUCCACCCCUCCCCCCCUUCUUCUUCCCACAAUCCCUUGCUCCCUCCUACCCCCAACCCUUUCGUAUCCCCGCCCCCAGACAUGACGUCUACGGGUUCCUCCCACACAUCGGGUACCGCCCCCUGCAUCGGGAAUCCCCACCCAUCCUGUGACCACGCCUCUUGGUCCUCCAACCCCGCCCACUGUGGAGGAUUUCCUGGUUCCCAUAUCCCCCCCUUCCGGUUCCCACGGGGUAGAAACCGGAACCGACGCCAUCUUGAAAUCGGGUCCAAGAGUCCCCUCAGCUCCCUCCUACCCCUUCGCCGCUCCUGUACCAUAUGAUCGAACAGGCAAUAAUCCCACAUGGAAACCUUUUGAUCCUGCAGGGCUCAAAGAGCUUUCCAAAGCCCAGAAAGAAUUUGGGAGGGAGAGUCAGUAUUUUAAGAACCUUCUGAGAAUAACCCUCAGCACCUCAGUGAUAGUUCCGCAUGACCUCAAAAGCAUUUUCUCCUGCUUGCUUUCCCCACCCGAGUUUCAAAUGUGGGAAGAAGGUUGGAGAAAGCAACUGGGAGAGGUCCUCCCGAUUUUACUGCAGGAUCCUGUUGCUGCCUGUUCUGAGCUUCCCCUCCCCCUCCCCAA